GGCUGGGGGGCCCGCCGCGGCCCCGGAGCCUGGGUCCCCCCCCGUCUGGUGUUCCGACGCGCCGUCACCGCCGCCACAGUCCUCCGCCGCCGCCGCCUCCUGGGACGCUUCUGGGACAAACAACGCAGAACCACGAUGCUCAGGGCCUUUGUGAAGCGUCCAGGGGGUGGAACGAGAGACGGAAUGACGUGUCACAUGGGUCCACGGGUGGGAAUCAAACCUGCGGUCACCAACACAGUAUUGCCCUCGUGUGAGCCCACCAGCGGGUUGAGCCACAAGCUACUCCAGGAGUCAGAGGCUAACA